AGGGGUGAAAGGCCAAUCAAACUCCGUGAUAGCUGGUUCUCCCCGAAAUGCAUUUAGGUGCAGCGUCGCAUUUAGCUUGGUGGAGGUAGAGCGACUGGUUGGUUGAGCGGGACUACAAUCUUAGCAAUGUCAGCCAAACUCCGAAUGCCAUCAAUUGUGUUGUGCGGCAGUGAGACUGUGGGGGAUAAGCUUCAUAGUCGAGAGGGAAACAGCCCAGAUCGCCGGUUAAGGCCCCUAAGGGUGUACUAAGUGGAAAAGGAUGUGGGAUCGCGAAGACAGCCAGGAGGUUGGCUUAGAAGCAGCCAUCCUUGAAAGAGUGCGUAAUAGCUCACUGGUCGAGUGGUUCUGCGCCGACAAUGUAGUGGGGCUCAAGUACACCGCCGAAGCCGCGGCAAGCAACAUUGGUUUGUUGUUUGGGUAGGGGAGCGUCGUGCAUGGGUGGAAGCGUUAUCGUGAGGAGGCGUGGACUGUGUGCGAGUGAGAAUGCAGGCAUGAGUAACGAAUUGUAAGGUGAGAAUCCUUACCGCCGGAUGACUAAGGGUUCCUGGGUCAAGUUCGUCUUCCCAGGGUGAGUCGGGACCUAAGGCGAGGCCGACAGGCGUAGUCGAUGGAUAACCAGUUGAUAUUCUGGUACCCGUACAUGUGCGCCCAUGAUAAAGCACGGAUACUAACCACUGCGGAUACGCUACCUUUUCACUUUUUUGAGUGUUGGUGGUGUUGAUGUCGUGGGGCCUGAUGUGUGGUUCAAGUGAUGGGGUGACGCAGUGAGGUAGCCGCGCCACUUAUUGGAUUGGUGGUGUAAGCGUGUAGGCCGUGUGGUAGGUAAAUCCGCUACACAUAGAGGUUGAGGCGUGAUGCGUAGACCCUAAGCGGGUUGAUGGUGGUGAUCCUGUACUGUCGAGAAAAGCCUCUAGCGAGUGUGUGUAUGGCCCGUACCCUAAACCGACACAGGUGGUCAGGUUGAAGAUACUAAGGCGUUCGGGUGAACUGUGGUUAAGGAAUUCGGCAAAAUGCCCCCGUAACUUCGGGAGAAGGGGGGCCCUGUGAUGUGAAGACCCUGUGCGGUUGGAGUGUUGUGGGGUCGCAGAGAAUAGAGGGAAGCGACUGUUUAUCAAAAACACAGGUCCAUGCGAAGACGUUAAGUUGAUGUAUAUGGACUGACGCCUGCCCGGUGCUGGAAGGUUAAGAGGACCGGUUAGUAACCUUUGUGGUUGCGAAGCUGAGAAUUUAAGCCCCAGUAAACGGCGGUGGUAACUAUAACCAUCCUAAGGUAGCGAAAUUCCUUGUCGGGUAAGUUCCGACCUGCACGAAUGGCGUAACGACUUCUCUGCUGUCUCGACCACAGGCCCGGUGAAAUUGCAUUACGAGUAAAGAUGCUCGUUACGCGCGGCAGGACGAAAAGACCCCGGGACCUUCACUAUAGCUUGGUAUUGGUGUUUGGUUCGGUUUGUGUAGGAUAGGUGGGAGACUGUGAAACCGUCACGCUAGUGGUGGUGGAGUCGUUGUUGAAAUACCACUCUGAUCGGAUUGAGCAUCUAACCUUGGCCCAUGAUCUGGGUUGGGGACAGUGCCUGGUGGGUAGUUUAACUGGGGCGGUUGCCUCCCAAAAUGUAACGGAGGCGCCCAAAGGUUCCCUCAGCCUGGUUGGCAAUCAGGUGGUGAGUGUAAGUGCACAAGGGAGCUUGACUGUGAGACAGACAUGUCGAGCAGGGACGAAAGUCGGGACUAGUGAUCCGGCACCUACUUGUGGAUGUGGUGUCGCUCAACGGAUAAAAGGUACCCCGGGGAUAACAGGCUGAUCUUCCCCAAGAGUCCAUAUCGACGGGAUGGUUUGGCACCUCGAUGUCGGCUCGUCGCAUCCUGGGGCUGGAGUAGGUCCCAAGGGUUGGGCUGUUCGCCCAUUAAAGCGGCACGCGAGCUGGGUUCAGAACGUCGUGAGACAGUUCGGUC
rnacentral:rRNA from 1 species